UUCAAGAUUAAAUAGAUAAUUGAUGACAUUGAAUCUUUGAUCGCUGGAAAUUGAUUGACACAAACCCUAACCCUAAUUAUAUUCCUAAAUGUUUUCCCACUCCAUUUGUAGUUUCCCUCCAUUCCUACUCCGCAGGGCGGAUCCAAAAGUAAGUGCAAGCUUUGGCAAUGACACCCCGCAGGACCCCAAUUCAACCAAUGCUAAGUUUGAUGAAGAAUUUCGAAAGGGAAAGCAAAGAGGGAGAGUGGUGGGUGGUAGUGAUGGUGGUGGGGGGGUUGUUAUUGGGAAGAAGAAGAAGUCGAAGGAGAAAGUUGAAUGGGUUUGCAGCAAUUGUGGGUACAGUGCAGGACAAUGGUGGGGCGUGUGCCGUUCAUGCAAUGUAUCAGGAACUAUGAAAGAGGCCAAAUUCAGCAGUGAUGCUGGUAGUAUGAUUAGUGGGUUUUCAGUAUUAGAGGAUGGCGUGGGAUCGUGGCUACCGCAACAGGAAGGAGAGUUACGUCCCUUGAGAUUGGCAGAGGUAAACCGGGGACUUGAUCAUCACCAUUGGAGAAUUCCUUUGUCUGGUCCAUUUGGAGAUGAAAUUUCCAGAGUGCUUGGUGGUGGUCUAGUACCAGGCUCAUUGACUUUAGUUGGUGGUGAUCCUGGUGUUGGGAAGAGUACUCUUUUGCUGCAGAUAGCUUCAAUUAUUGCAGAACGGCACCAUGAUGAUGGAGCAUCUCCAGUUGUAUAUGUCUCUGGUGAAGAGAGUGUUGAGCAAAUUGGUAACAGAGCAGAUCGUCUUAGGAUUCAAUCAGAUAUUUAUUUAUACUCAAGUAAUGAUGUUGAGGACAUAUUGAAGAAAGUUCAGCAUCUCUCCCCUGGGGCUCUAAUUGUUGAUUCAAUACAAACUGUUUAUUUAAAAGGAAUAAUGGGAAGUCCUGGAGGGAUUAUGCAGGUGAAAGAAUGCACUUCAGCUUUACUCCGAUUUGCAAAGAAGACAAACAUCCCAGUUCUUCUGAUUGGACAUGUGACAAAAUCUGGAGACAUUGCAGGACCUCGAGUUUUGGAGCAUAUUGUUGAUGUUGUUCUGUAUAUGGAAGGUGAGAAAUACUCUUCCCAUCGUAUGCUUCGAGCUGUGAAAAACCGAUUUGGAUCCACAGAUGAGCUUGGAGUUUUUGAGAUGUCACAUUCAGGACUUCAGGCUAUUUCAAAUGCUAGUGAAAUGUUUCUCAGUGAGCAACAUCUGGAUUCAGAAGUUUUAGCUGGACUAGCUGUUGCUGUAAUCAUGGAUGGGUCCCGGACAUUUCUUAUUGAAAUUCAGGCACUUUGUCUUUCUAGUUCAACAGGUUCAAGGCAAGUUAAUGGUAUCCAAUUAAAUAGAGCUGAUAUGAUCAUAUCCGUGAGUUCUUAUAAAGCAAGCUGGUCUUCGUCUCCGAGAACAUGCUGUGUUUUUGAAUGUUGUUAGUGGAUUGACACUGGCUGAGACUGCUGGAGAUCUUGCUAUAGCAGCAGCAAUUUGCAGCAGUUGCUUGGAAAUUCCAAUUCCAAAUGACAUUGCAUUUAUCGGUGAAAUUGGCCUCGGUGGUGAGCUUCGCAUGGUUCAUAGAAUGGAUAAAAGGGUAUAUACCGUUGCCAAAUUGGGUUUCAGAAUGUGCAUAGUGCCCAAGGUGGCUGAAAAAGCUUUAGGAACUGAAGGUUUAGAAAAGAUGAAAGUCGUUGGUUGCAGAAAUCUGAAAGAGGUUAUUAACACUGUAUUUCCCAAUAUAAUGAUGAAAAGGAGGUAGUGAUGAUGUAGGUUGUGAAUUUAUAUAAAUCUUUUAAUUCGCAUGAUGUUGGUACCAUUAGAUAUGCACAUGUUAUUCCACUUAUCUAUUUGUUUUUAUUUAUUCAUUAAUUUUUCGUACCUUGAAUUUUGAAACACCUAUUUACUUUAUUCAAGCGAUAAAAUGGUGUAAUUAUUGAUGUAUUUUACUCUGAUCAAAGGUUAAUCAAUAAUAUUAAGAUAAACAUGAGGUGAUCGGUGGUAA